rnacentral:rRNA from 1 species
UACGUAGGGGGCAAGCGUUGUCCGGAUUUAUUGGGCGUAAAGAGCGUGUAGGCGGCCAGGGAGGUCCGUUGUGAAAACUCGAGGCUCAACCUCGAGACGCCGAUGGAAACCCCCUGGCUAGAGUCCGGAAGAGGAGAAUGGAAUUCCUGGUGUAGCGGUGAAAUGCGCAGAUAUCAGGAAGAACACCUAUGGCGAAGGCAGCUCUCUGGGACGGUACUGACGCUGAGACGCGAAAGCGUGGGGAGCGAACAGG